GCCUAAAGCGUCCGUAGCCGGCUUUGUAAGUUUUCGGUUAAAUCUAUAUGCUCAACAUAUAGGCUGCCGGGAAUACUGCAAAGCUAGGGAGUGGGAGAGGUAGACGGUACUCCGUAGGAAGGGGUAAAAUCCUUUGAUCUAUGGAUGACCACCUGUGGCGAAGGCGGUCUACCAGAACACGUCUGACGGUGAGGGAUGAAAGCUGGGGGAGCAAACCGGAUUAGAUACCCGGGUAGUCCCAGCUGUAAACUAUGCAAACUCAGUGAUGCAUUGGCUUGUGGCCAGUGCAGUGCCGCAGGGAAGCCGUUAAGUUUGCCGCCUGGGAAGUACGUACGCAAGUAUGAAACUUAAAGGAAUUGGCGGGGGAGCACCACAAGGGGUGAAGCCUGCGGUUCAAUUGGAGUCAACGCCAGAAAUCUUACCCGGAGGGACAGCAGGAUGAAGGUCAAGCUGAAGACUUUACCAGACAAGCUGAGAAGUGGUGCAUGGCCGUCGCCAGCUCGUGCCGUGAGGUGUCCUGUUAAGUCAGGUAACGAGCGAGAUCCUUGCCUCUAGUUGCUACCAUUACUCUCAGGAGUAGUGGAGCGAAUUAGCGGGACUGCCGUAGUUAAUACGGAGGAAGGAGAGGGCCACGGCAGGUCAGUAUGCCCCGAA
rnacentral:rRNA from 1 species